CCCCAUCUUCUCUUUCAAAUAAAUAAACAAAACCUUUAAAGAAAGGAAGGAAGGGAAAGAGGGAGGAAACCGCGGGUUCAGAAGAAUGCCGGGACCCUCAGUGGACUCUGUUCUGUCUCCACCAGCUCCCAGGCCACCGCAUCCAGCUGCUGACUCAGCACCUCUACCCCGGGGGCAAGGAUAGGGAGUGGGAGGGGCCUCAGUCUCCCAAGCAUCUCACACUCAAGGAGUCUAAAGAUAUAUUCUUCUUUCCCUCUGUUUUCCCAUUUUCUGUCUCCUUGGUGGUUCUGCCUCACACUUUGCUGUGUAAGCUAGAAACUUCGAAGUCAGCCUUGAUCCUCCAUUGACAACCCCCCCCCCCCACCAUCUAUCUGGAUUCGACAUCCAUGCGAUGCUUUCCUGCAAACAGCUUCCAGUCUGGGUCUUCCCUUCCCAUACCUGACGGCUCCCGCACUGGGCAACAGCAGCCUCCUAACUGGCCUCCCUGCCUCCAGGCUCUUCCACUCCGCUACCUCUUCCACACAUCUAACCGCAGCUUAGAUGUGGGGGGAGCAAACCUCUCCAUAGGUCAUUUGGCACUCAGGGUCCCUACUAAUCGGGCUCCAUCUCCAUUCUAGUCCGUAUACGCUCCUCCUCCUCCUCCGCCCCGCCCAUCAGUUAGGUCCUGGCCCAUCGAACUGCUCGCAGGAGCUCAGGACGCUGCUGGAAUGCCCUUCCCUGUUCUCAGCUUAGAAGAUUCUUGCUCGCGUCCUUCAGGACCCAUCUCAGAUGUCACCGUCUCUGUGAUGCCAUCCCUGACCCAUCCAGGCACAGCUGGUCACCCGCCCUACAACGGACAGCCCCUGUGCAUAGCCUGAAUCAUCCUGGGAAGGGACGGUCCCUCCCCUGGGCUCUCCGUGCUCCCCAUGUGAGCUUCCUCGGGCAGGGACUGGGCCUCACUGGCCUUUCGUCCCGCCCUGCCUCUCGCCAGACUUUCAAUUCCCAUAUCACGGCUUCACCUUAAACAAUAAAAAGUACCACGCGGGCCCCCAAAGGUGCGGCGGAUGAGUCCUGGUCGAGGGUGACACCUACUGGGCAGCCGCGGUUCUGCAGCCCAGCCCUACAAAUCCGUACCACACUUCCAGGCCUCGGGCUGCGAAUCCCAGGGCGGGAUUCCCAGGAAUGAGGUUUCAAUCAAACAAUCUUCCCUCCAAAAGAGCCUCCGAGAACGUCUGUUACUGUGCAGCAGCUGCAGAGGGCGGCGACGUUCAGAGAAUGCCUUUUUGUCCCUUCUCCGUCGGAUCCUUUAAACCAUCCGGCAAGGCAGAUGGAACAGGUGUUACGACAACACCUGUCUUGCAGGCUUUUCUUCAUCCCAAAGCCUUGUGACUCAGCUGUGAGUACAGCGAAUUCCCCUGCCUUCCGCAAAGUGACUUGCCCUAAAUUCCCAGAGUAGGGCACUGGGCACCUGUCAUUCAAAUGUGGGGCCUGCCUGCUGCCUCUUGGCCCCCAGUCCCUGUCCCCCCUCUCCGCACCUGCACCUGCGUGCUGCUAUGUUCCAGGUGUCUCCGCUGUGGGUAUAUGGGGGGGGGGGGGCUCCCAGAAAUGACUCCUUAAAGUCGUAUCAACAUUUCCCCUGGACGGAUUUCGCCAUCAACACACAGAACAGGCCUAUAUAUUAGAGACACCUCGCAUGGUCCCAGGUAUUCCAAUUUCUGAAACUACGGUUCCAAUACAUACUGACGGUAAGGCACCAGGCGGAAGGGGCAUGACUGCAACUUGGUGGGGGGGGGGGGGGGAGCUGUAAGCAAUGACUGAGAUUUGAGAGCACGGCUGGGAAAAAUCCCAGAGCCACAGGGGGAUGAGACGAAGUCGAAGACCAGGAGAGAAUGCAGGUGGGGACCCAUGGGUUAAGAAAGUGCUGGAAAGGGGAGUGAACGGCCAUGCAGAGACUCAAACCCCCACCUCCUCCAGGGAUGCUGAAGGUCAGCUUCCAUUUCAACAGGUUCCUGCCCAAACCUUUCACCUGGAACCACUGGUAAGCCUUGAGCACUCGGAGCACACCUCUAAUUUUAUACAGAAUCUUAGCUAUUUGCGAUCAGUGCGCAAAAUGCAUUUUCCAGGAACCCCUUGUGUUGGUCUUCACAAGGUGGCCCAAACGGGGAGCCUGGGUGGUAAGCUUCAUAAAGCCCCAUGAGGAGCGCUGAGCAGGCACGGAGCCACCAGAUCCCUGCAAGGGCCUGGCCUCCCCGCAGCCACUCAGUAAAGCCCUCGUUACUAAAGCGGGAUCUCAGGGAGUGCGGGCUCGAGGCUGCAUUAAACCUCAGAAGCAUCUGUGCGGCGCUCUGCCCAUCACAGGGUACUCAGGACCAUGGAACUCACCCGAAAUGUGCCAGGCACCAGACCAGAUGCUCUGCCUUGUCCUGUCUUUUCCUCCCCAACGUGGAUGCUGAGCUACAGAGAGGCUGGUGACUUUCCAAGGUCCCAGGGACAUGACCACGGCAGGUCGUCUACUGCUGACUCUGUAUCCACGGCCCACCUUCCCAGAGCAAACUCCUUAGGCAUGGCAAAGCUCAGAUCACAGUCCACUGCCUGUCAGGACAGUCCAUAAGCCUUCUAGGACUAAGGCCAGUGGAGCCCCUCCACCGGCUGGGAGGUGUCUCCCCCAGGGCAGUCUCCAGGCACCAGCUGGGGAUGUCAGGGCUGCCCCGGGGGAUCUGCGGCAUAAAUGAGUAAUGAGAUGAGGCAUGAAUGGUCACUUAAUGCUGGCAGAGCUCUGCACUCACCAGGCCCCCUCCAGGGCCAAGGGACACACUCAGGAGCUUGGGAGUGCCGCCCACCACAGAAAGUGCCUGGAAAAUGUACCCUCCUGGGCAGGCAGGGGAAGGGCCAGGGUUCUCCUAAGUAGAAGAGCCAGAGGUCUAGGGUGCCCCUCUCACUAUGACACAAAGUGUACAUGAACCCCUGUGGCUUAGUCCAGGUUUUAUCACCCACAGAUCUCAAAAUCUAGAAUUUUCUUUCUAGUCCUGCCUACCAGUGGCUCCCUUUAGGGCUCCAGCUGCUGCACGGCCUCAGCCAUCCCAGAAAGGGGCUUCUCUCCAGAGGAACAGGUACAUGUCACGGGCACGCCAGUGGGCAGCCAGCAGUUUCAAACGGAUGAAACCAGAAGGGUCCUCGGAGUUUUCAGGCAUUUCAGGGGGACGAGAUGGGCCGGGCAGUGCCAAGCUGCUCCAGGCCCCUGCUGUCUGGCAGACAGGUACUUCCCCACGCCCGAGGUGGGGGUGUUCUAGAAAGGCAGUGUGUGGACAGAGCCCGGAAGGGAGCCUGGAGGCUGGGGAUGAUCAGGCACGGCCCCUGCAGGAGGACAGGACAGCAGGCUGACCGCACGUGGGAGGGGGACCAAGAGUGGAGAGAGGAAGAAGCCAGCUGUGUUCUGGACCCAUCAGAGUCAGGGCUAUCUCCCUGAGCAGAUACACAGGGAAGGAAGAGGGAGCCCCAGCUAGAACACAGGCUCACAUGCACGCAGCAGAAAGGCAGACAGCCGCCGUGUACUCAGAGCCAAGCGUGGACCCUGGAGCUCCAGCAGGACUGAGCGAGCUCAGGGUGAGGACCCGGUGUGCGUCAGAGGCUGGGCGGGGGAACGGCUCCUGCAGUCCCUGCAGAGUCUCUCGUGCCCAUCAGGACAGGAGACAGGCUGAGCAAUGCAGAGAAGCCUAGCACACUGCCCGGAACGGACUUCUAUCCUGCAAGGUAAUGGCCUGGCCUCAGGAUGCCACUUUUAGCAGGUGGAUUCCCGGGCAGCAAAGAUCUGCUAGAUUUUUUACAGCGUCUCCAGGCAGGCUACGGUGGCUGGCGGGUUGAGGGGGCCCACUGAAGACACCGAGACAGAUGCGAGCCACUCAGCCAAGUCCCUGAGUCAGCAGACUGGCCUGGAAACCUCUACUCAGGAGGAUGGGGCUGCCAGGGCACUCUGCCCCUGCCUGCCCGGCUCCUGCCUGGAGGCAGCAAUUUCGGGCACCCUCAAACGGGCCAGCCCAGAAGUUGUCAGCCUCUCUCGCUUGCCCCUCCCCAGGAGGACAAGUCCAGGAAUCCGUCUCUGCCCAGGUAUCUAAUGAGCAAAGACGUGUCCCAGAGCCAUAGAUCAGGGCCAGAGGGAGCAACCCAGAGAUGUCUGUAGUGACCGCGGGCUGGCCCUUCUGUGCUGGAGGCGGCGGCAGCCGGGCAAAUUCCAUGUUAUUACAGCCUUACAGGAAGCCAGCCUGGCUCAGCUGUUAACCAGCAGCAAUUUAUGGGCCUUGGGGGAAGAGGGAGGGAGAGGAGGGGAGAGAAAGGAAAACACAGUCCUCCGCCGCCCCCCUCCAAAAGAAUCGAUGCCGAGUUAUUUUUAGAUGCUUAUUCAUUCCACGCAUUUCUUUAUAAGAGCCAGGACAUGGGCUCUGCACAAAAACCAUUGGGCAGGAGGCAGCUGCUCUCAUAGGAGGACGGGGCUGGGGGCACCUGGGAGCAGGUGGGUGGGAGCAUGGGAGGGUCUGCAAGGACACCCCCUCCUGGCAAAUAUCUCCCAGGAUUCUGGAGGCAGAGUCCGGAGCCUGACCGAGGAGAGGCUUUUCAAUCCGAAUCCCCAAGUUCAACCUCCAGCUUUUUCUUGUUAGAUGGCCUAGGGCAGGUCACUGUGGAGGUCAGAUGAGACUCUGUCUGGGCUUGGAACCCCGGUUAGGUGUGGCGUGGGGCAAGUCACUCAACCUCUCGGGGCCUCAGUUUCCCCCAUCUACAGAGGGAAGCUGGUCAAUGCACACGGAACACUUAGAAGAUUGCCUGGCAUACCCCGUGUUACAUGAGAGUCCGCGAUCACUUCUGUGAAAGCCGCACAUGAUCAUUCUCACUGUCGCUGAAUCCCGGCCUCCGGAACAGCACCUGGCACGGGGCAGACGCUCAAGUACGAGCGGCUGACCUUGGGAACGACCGGUGUAAGAAAUCCUUUCACCCGUGUGCCUGGCGCUAAUCGGAGUCCUGGGGCUCUCAGGGGACUGCGGUGCCUAAUGCAGGUGGGUACCUUUGGCUCGACCAAAGGGCUUUCCCGUCCGUAUUUCAGAUGUCCGCACUCUGCGCUAGGAGUGUAAUCGCCUUUUGCAGAUGAGCUGAACGUGACAGAGAGAAGCGAAGGGCUCGUCUAAGAAACAGAACUCACGGGACGCCUGGGUGGCUCAGAUGGCUAAGCGGCUGCCUUCGGCUCAGGUCAUGAUCUCAGGGUCC